rnacentral:rRNA from 1 species
AGUGAACGCUGGCGGCGUGCCUAACACAUGCAAGUCGAACGAUGAUGGAGGAGCUUGCUCUUCCUGAUUAGUGGCGCACGGGUGAGUAUACCAUAGAUAAUGUACCCCUUAGUUCGGGAUAGCCACUGGAAACGGUGAUUAAUACCGGAUACUCCUUCUCGUUAUAAGACGAGUCGGGAAAGUUUUUUCGCUAAGGGAUCAGUCUAUGUCCUAUCAGCUAGUUGGUGAGGUAAUGGCUCACCAAGGCUAUGACGGGUAUCUGGUUUGAGAGGAUGAUCAGACACACUGGAACUGAGACACGGUCCAGACUCCUACGGGAGGCAGCAGUGAGGAAUAUUGCACAAUGGAGGAAACUCUGAUGCAGCAACGCCGCGUGGGGGAUGACGCAUUUCGGUGUGUAAACUCCUUUUAAGAGGGAAGAUUAUGACGGUACCUCUUGAAUAAGCACCGGCUAACUCCGUGCCAGCAGCCGCUGUAA